GGGUUGCUGCAGCCUAUGAGAGAGUGGGCGGGGCUGGUGGCUGAUCCCAUGCGAUGAGUUAGGCGCUGACCCCGAAAUACUGUCCCUGGAGGGGGAGUAUAUAGAGGAACACAGGGGUCUGUACAAGGACGUGAUGAUGGAGAAUAACCGGCCCCUCACAUUACUGGGUGGACCCAGUAACAGAGAUACCCCAGAGAGAUGUCCCCGUCCUCUGUAUUCCCAGGACUGUACAGAGGAGAAUCACAGGAUCCCACAGGAGGAUC